AAUUCGAUUAGUUUGAUCAUGGCUCAGAUCGAACGCUGGCGGCAUGGCUAAAACAUGCAAGUCGAACGCGAAAGGGGGCAACCCCGAGUAGAGUGGCGUAAGGGCGAGUAAUGCAUUUCUAACGUACCUCAGACUCGAGGAUAGCUCACCGAAAGGUGAAUUAAUACUCGAUGAUGCUCACGGGUUGUAUGACCUGUGUGCCAAAGGCUUGCUGGUCUGAGAGCGGGGAAUGUCCUAUCAGGUAGUUGGUGAGGUAACGGCUCACCAAGCCUAAGACGGGUAGCGGGUGUGAGAGCACGACCCGCCGCAUCGGAACUGAGACACUGUCCGGACUCCUACGGGAGGCUGCAGUAACGAAUAUUCCACAAUGCGCGAAAGCGUGAUGGAGCGAUGCCGCGUGCAGGAUGAAGCCCCUCGGGGUGUAAACUGCUGUCAGGGUUUAACAAAAAAAUGAGUAGACCCAGAGGAAGAGACGGCUAACUCUGUGCCAGCAGCCGCGGUAAUACAGAGGUCUCGAGCGUUGAUCGGAAUUAUUGGGCUUAAAGGGUGCGUAGGCGGUCCUGUCAGUGCCUUGUGAAAUCCCAUGGCUCAACCAUGGAAUUGCUCGGUAGACCACAGGACUUGAGGUCGGUAGGGGUCGCUGGAACUCUAGGUGGAGCGGUGAAAUGCGUAGAUAUCUAGAGGAACGCCAAAGGUGAAGACAGGCGACUGGGCCGAUUCUGACGCUGAGGCACGAAAGCGUGGGUAGCGAACGGGAUUAGAUACCCCGGUAGUCCACGCCCUAAACGAUGU
rnacentral:rRNA from 1 species